AACGUCGUCGCCAGCACUCCUACGGUGCCAUAGCCGCCGUGGCACCUCUGUCAGAUGAGUAACAAGAGGGGAAAUGCACUACCAUGGUCCCAAUUUGUCCAAACGUAGCUUCUUGGUUACACUUGGUGGGAGAAAGAUCAUGAUCUCUAGUAACAUGAUAAACUACUCGCCUGUUAAGCUUCUCUUACCCCCCUAUUGUUGUUAAUUGUUUUUUAGUAUGUCAGUUGACUGAAUAUAUAGAGUUCAAUGAGUUUUAAUGUGGGGCAUAUGCAUAGAUUUAAAUGUAUGUACACAUUUAAAUACAUAUACUUAUUCCACGAUACAUGUUAAUGCCCUUGUGCAGUUGUUGAGGAGUUGUAUGUGCAAGAUGAUGGGAAUAUCAAGUCACUCAAUAACUUGAAAAUCACUUGGUUGAAGCAAUCUGAGAUCAUCAAGGAGCCAUAUUUCUGUUCUUUGAGGAAUUUACUAUUAUACUUCCCAGGGAUUAGCUCCCUAUGCAUCACCGACUUGCUGCAUUAUAUGCCCUGUAGAGCAUUAUAGCAGCUGUAUCUCUGCAGAUGAAAAUGGGAACCGCCUCUUCCUUUCUGACAGCAAUCAUCAUCGGAUUAUUGUAUUUAUGGAAACGGAACGAUUCUGGA